UACGUAGGGUGCGAGCGUUAUCCGGAAUCAUUGGGCGUAAAGAGCUCGUAGGCGGUUCAUUAAGUCUGAUGUGAAAGCCCGAGGCUCAACCUCGGAAUUGCAGUCGAUACUGCUGUGACUCGAGUCCGGUAGAGGAGAAUGGAAUUCUCGGUGUAGCGGUGAAAUGCGCAGAUAUCGAGAGGAACACCAGUAGCGAAGGCGGUUCUCUGGGCCGGAACUGACGCUGAGGAGCGAAAGCGUGGGGAGCAAACAGG
rnacentral:misc_RNA from 1 species